rnacentral:rRNA from 1 species
GACGAACCACACGAACGUUAUUCGGAAUUACUGGGCUUAAAGGGUGCGUAGGCGGCGCAGAAAGUUGGGUGUGAAAUCCCUCGGCUCAACCGAGGAACUGCGCCCAAAACUACUGUGCUUGAGGAAGAUAGAGGUAAGCGGAACUUACGGUGGAGCGGUGAAAUGCGUUGAUAUCGUAAGGAACACCUGUGGCGAAAGCGGCUUACUGGGUCUUUUCUGACGCUGAUGCACGAAAGCCAGGGGAGCAAACGGGG